GUAGGGAAUAUUGGGCAAUGGACGAGAGUCUGACCCAGCCAUGCCGCGUGCAGGAAGACGGCGUUCUGCGUUGUAAACUGCUUUUAUCUGGGAAGAAAAGGCCCCUGCGGGGGACAUUGCCGGUACCAGAUGAAUAAGCACCGGCUAACUCCGUGCCAGCAGCCGCGGUAAUACGGAGGGUGCAAGCGUUGUCCGGAUUUAUUGGGUUUAAAGGGUGCGUAGGAGGCUAUUUAAGUCAGUGGUGAAAGACCCCGGCUCAACCGGGGCAGUGCCAUUGAUACUGGACAGCUUGAGUAUUGGAGGGGUACAUGGAAUUGACGGUGUAGCGGUGAAAUGCAUAGAUACCGUCAGGAACACCGAUAGCGAAGGCAUUGUACUGGCCAAUAACUGACGCUGAUGCACGAAAGCAUGGGUAGCGAACAGGAUUAGAUACCCGUGUAGUCC
rnacentral:rRNA from 1 species